rnacentral:rRNA from 1 species
GGCUUACUUGAGCUUUUGAGAGGAGGGUGCAUGGCCGCCGUCAGCUCGUACCGUGAGGCGUCCUGUUAAGUCAGGCAACGAGCGAGACCCACACUCCUAAAUUGCCAGCAGUACCCUUGUGGUGGCUGGGUACAUUUAGGAGGAUCUGCCGCUGCCAAAGCGGAGGAAGGAAUGGGCAACGGUAGGUCAUGCAUGCCCCGAAUGUGCUGGGCUACACCGCGGGCUACAAUGGUCGUACAAUGGGUUGAACCCCCGCGAGGGGGGCGCCAAUCUCCGAAACUCGAUCGUAGUUCGGAUUGAAGGGCUGAAACUCGCCCUCAUGAACGCUGGAUUCGGUAGGUAAUCGCGCUUCAUGCAGACGCGCGGUGAAUACGUCCCUGCUCCUUGCACAAACCGCCCGUCAAAGCACCCUAUUAAUGGUCCGGAUGAGGCCAUCAGGCGAUGGUCGAAUCUGGGCUUCGCAAAGGGGGCUUAAGGUCGUAAGCAAGGUAGCCG